GACGAACGCUGGUGGCGUGCCUAAUACAUGCAAGUCGAGCGAGUCUGCCUUGAAGAUCGGAGUGCUUGCACUCUGUGAAACAAGAUACAGGCUAGCGGCGGACGGGUGAGUAACACGUGGGUAACCUGCCCAAGAGAUCGGGAUAACACCUGGAAACAGAUGCUAAUACCGGAUAACAACAGAUGAUGCCUAUCAACUGUUUAAUAGAUGGUUCUGCUAUCACUCUUGGAUGGACCUGCGGUGCAUUAGCUAGUUGGUAGGGUAACGGCCUACCAAGGCGAUGAUGCAUAGCCGAGUUGAGAGACUGAUCGGCCACAUUGGAACUGAGACACGGCCCAAACUCCUACGGGAGGCAGCAGUAGGGAAUCUUCCACAAUGGACGAAAGUCUGAUGGAGCAACGCCGCGUGAGUGAAGAAGGGUUUCGGAUCGUAAAGCUCUGUUGUUGGUGAAGAAGGAAAGGGGUAGUAACUGACCUUUGUUUGACGGUAAUCAAUUAGAAAGUCACGGCUAACUACGUG
rnacentral:rRNA from 1 species